rnacentral:rRNA from 1 species
CUCUAGAGAUAGAGCUUUCCCCUUCGGGGGACAAAGUGACAGGUGGUGCAUGGUUGUCGUCAGCUCGUGUCGUGAGAUGUUGGGUUAAGUCCCGCAACGAGCGCAACCCUUAAGCUUAGUUGCCAUCAUUAAGUUGGGCACUCUAGGUUGACUGCCGGUGACAAACCGGAGGAAGGUGGGGAUGACGUCAAAUCAUCAUGCCCCUUAUGAUUUGGGCUACACACGUGCUACAAUGGACAAUACAAAGGGCAGCUAAACCGCGAGGUCAUGCAAAUCCCAUAAAGUUGUUCUCAGUUCGGAUUGUAGUCUGCAACUCGACUACAUGAAGCUGGAAUCGCUAGUAAUCGUAGAUCAGCAUGCUACGGUGAAUACGUUCCCGGGUCUUGUACACACCGCCCGUCACACCACGAGAGUUUGUAACACCCGAAGCCGGUGGAGUAACCAUUUAUGGAGCUAGCCGUCGAAGGCGGGACAAAUGAUUGGGGUGAAGUCGUAACAAGGUAGCCGUAUCGGAAGGU